AUGGUAAACACAGAAGGGAAUACACCAUUGCAUGAUGCGCUGUUUAAGCGUCACUUGGACAUCACAAUAAAACUUUUGGAGGUCAACCCAAGAUGUGCAGAAGCAUUGAACACGGAGAUAACGAACCAGUUGUCGACAGGCUCUGUCUCAACUAUUGGCACCUGUAUGAUUGCUCUGCUGCACCAGACUGCGUUGCAUGAUAACAUAUUUAACAGACUCAUCAGGGAACAAUGCCCUGCACUAUGCCACGUUGAACAACAGGGUUCGCAUGGUAUCCAUUUGCUCAACAAGAACUCUGCUCUGGCAUGCAAGAAGAACACUGAGGAGCAUACCCCUCUCCACAUUGUUGCCAAGUAUGGCUUCACAGAGGCUGCCAAAGAGCUCUUGAAGCAGUUCCCUGAUGCCAUUAAGGUGGUGGAUUUAGAUGGGAGAAACGCUUUGCACAUCGCCAUCGUCAACAACAAGCUGAGCAUACUUGAGUUGCUUCUCAAGUAUAAGCUGCCAAAGGAGAUCUUGAACAAACAGGAUAAUGAUGGCAACACACUGCUGCAUCAUGCUGCCAGGCUCCACCAGGGGCCAUCAAUACUGUGGUUACUCAAUGAUCCGAGAAUCAACUCAUUCGUGAUUAACAAAGAAGGACACACUGCAUGGGCCUACCAGAUUCCAAUAGAGCCCAUGGCUCAAGCAUUGAGUAAUGCAAUAGACAAAGGGGACAUGCUAAGCCUGGAGCCUCUGAUAAUGCAGGGCAAGGAAGGGAACACGCUGCUGCAUGAGGCAGUGAUACAUGGUUGGCAUGAUCUGGCAGUCAGCCUGCUAGAUCAUGGCAAAGAGGUUACAUGGACGGCUACUGAAGAAUUCAUCAGGGAGUACCAUGAGUACGCUGGGGAUGUUGUCAGUACACAUGAUGUAUUCCUUGUCAUUAGGAAUGAUGACGGGGACACACCGUUGCACCUUGCAGUUAAAUCUGGCAAUUCCGUCCUUGUCAAUAUGCUUAUCGGACGUACUAAAGUGAUGAACCUGGAACUUACGCCACAGUAUGCAAAGGUCUACCUCCUGGAGGUUUUAGACCACUUUGGGUUUGGUCCGCGUUGGUGGGAGUGGAUUUGCUUGACACUCGGAUCCUCCUCAAUGGAGUCCGGGCAUCCCCUUCCUCACCGGCGCGGGCUUCAGCAAGGAGACCCCAAGUCGUCCAUGCUCUUCAUCCUGGCCAUUGAACCCCUACACCACCUCCUUCGUUUGGCGGCGGACUCAGGUGUCCUUUUGCCCGUUAGAGCCAGGGCCACGCGGUGUAGGAUUUCCAUGUAUGCGGAUGACGCCGACAUCUUCGCCACCCCAACAACCGAGCUUGCUGCUAUUCGAUCCAUCCUUGACUGCUUCGGGGAGGCUAGCAGAUUAGUACCAACCUCGAUAAGACGGAGGUCUUCCCCAUUCGCUAUGAAAACUUUGAUCUCCAAGACAUCCUCUCCAACUUCCCUGCCAAGCUUGGAUCUUUCCCGGGACGCUAUCUGGGGCUCCCCCUGCUAUACUGCUGCCUUCGGAAGGUCCACCUGCAACCUCUCAUCGACAAGAUUGUCGUGUGACUGCCAGGCUGGAAGGGUACAAGCAUUGUCAGAGCCGGCACGGUCACCUUGGCCAAAGCCAUCCUUAUCGCGAUUGCCACUUCACUCGACGGUCACCCCCUUCCCAAAAUGGGCCCGCUCCAAGGUUGACAAGAUUUCUUGUGGUUUUUCUGGAGUGGCGACAAUAGUGAGACUGCGGGCGGCGGUCACUCGUUUGUCAACUGGAAGACGGUCUACCGCCCCAAAGCCCUUGGUGGCCUCGGCAUUGCGGAUCCGGAGUGCUUCGGCCAGGCCCUUCGUCUUUGUUGGCCAUGGCUAUAGAGCGCUGGAGAUCGUGCUGAACAGAUAUGAGGAGCUUGUAGAGUUGUCAGACUUAUUAGGGAACAAUGCCCUGCAUUACGCGGCGGAGAAGAAUAAUGCACGCAUUGUAUCCAUAUUACUCAACAAGAAUCACGCUCUAGCCUACAAACAGAAUAAUGAGAAGCAUACUCCUCUCCACAUAGCUGCUUACUAUGGCUCCACAGAGGCUGCCAAAGAACUCUUGAAGCAGUUCCCUGACGUUAUUGAGAUGGUGGAUAACAUGGGACGAAACGCACUCCACAUCGCGGCCAUAAAUGACAAGGUGAGUGUGCUUGAAUUGCUUCUCAAGUAUGUGCUGCCGAAGGAGAUUGUGAACCAACAGGAUAGGGAUGGCAACACACCGCUGCAUCAUGCUGGCAAGCUCUUCGGGAAACAAGCAGCAUUGCUGCUACUCAAUGAUCGGAGAGUCAAACCAUGCCUGGUUAACCAAGAUGAAGAUGCCGCAUUUUCCCUUUCUCAGAGAACAGGAAUAGAGCGAACUUAUGGCAAACACAAGCUGCUGAUACUGACAAAGCAACAGCCUCGACCACUGCGGAACCGGCGAACAAGUCCACAGAUGGCGCACAACAUAGUUUGCAGCGUACUUGUGGUUGUGGCCACCCUGAUGGGCAUGUCCACCUUUGCAGUCACACUAACCGUGCCUGGCGGCUAUAACCAACAGUCUGGCGCUGCCAUUGUUGGGCACCAUCAGGUGUUCAAUAUACUCGUCAUCUGCAACGCCAUUUCAAUGUGUGGCUCGACUGUUGUUGCCUUGUGCAUCUUUUUGUGGAAGGGUCAUGUGGAGACAAGGGUCAGUUACGGUGUUAUGCUGUUUGGUGCCAAGUUGUUGAUUGUCUUCUCUGGCCUCACAAUGAUUAUGUCAAUGUUGACUGCCAUAUACCUCACCAUCGCACCAAUGUUAGUUGCCUAUGUGGGGGUUGCCAUUGGUGCCAGCGUUCCUCUCUUGGUGUGCCUGGUGGUGGUACUGGGGAAGUCUGUCUAUGAAUUCCGUGUUUAG
rnacentral:rRNA from 1 species